rnacentral:tRNA from 1 species
GGGUCCUGCCUCAGCGUUAUGACCAAUUGGCUUUUAACCAAUUGGUCGUAGGUUCGAAUCCCACACGACCCACCA